rnacentral:rRNA from 1 species
AGUUAACGCUGGCGGUAGGCCUAACACAUGCCAGUCGAACGGCAGCACAGUAAGAGCUUGCUCUUACGGGUGGCGAGUGGCGGACGGGUGAGGAAUACAUCGGAAUCUACUUUUUCGUGGGGGAUAACGUAGGGAAACUUACGCUAAUACCGCAUACGACCUACGGGUGAAAGCAGGGGAUCUUCGGACCUUGCGCGAUUGAAUGAGCCGAUGUCGGAUUAGCUAGUUGGCGGGGUAAAGGCCCACCAAGGCGACGAUCCGUAGCUGGUCUGAGAGGAUGAUCAGCCACACUGGAACUGAGACACGGUCCAGACUCCUACGGGAGGCAGCAGUGGGGAAUAUUGGACAAUGGGCGCAAGCCUGAUCCAGCCAUACCGCGUGGGUGAAGAAGGCCUUCGGGUUGUAAAGCCCUUUUGUUGGGAAAGAAAAGCAGCAGGUUAAUACCCCGCUGUUCUGACGGUACCCAAAGAAUAAGCACCGGCUAACUUCGUG